AGGAUGAACGCUGGCGGUCUGCUUAACACAUGCAAGUCGAACGGAGUAGCAAUACUUAGUGGCGGACGGGUGAGUAACGCGUGAGAAUCUACCUUCAGGACGGAGACAACAGUUGGAAACGACUGCUAACCCCCGAUGUACCGAAAGGGCAAAUAUUUAUAGCCUGAAGAAGAGCUCGCGUCCGAUUAGCUAGUUGGAGAGGUAAAAGCUCACCAAGGCGACGAUCGGUAGCUGGUCUGAGAGGACGGCCAGCCACACUGGGACUGAGACACGGCCCAGACUCCUACGGGAGGCAGCAGUUAGGGAAUUUUGACAAUGGGCGCAAGCCUGAUCGAGUGACGCCGCGUGCGGGAGGACGCCUUUCGGGGUGUAAACCGCUUUUCCCUGGGACGAGCAAGGACGGUACCGAGGGGAAUAAGCCGUCGGCUAACUACGUGCCAGCAGCCGC
rnacentral:rRNA from 1 species